rnacentral:rRNA from 1 species
AUUGAACGCUGGCGGCAUGCUUUACACAUGCAGGUCGAACGGUAACAGGUUAAGCUGACGAGUGGCGAACGGGUGAGUAAUGCAUCGGAACGUGCCCGAUCGUGGGGGAUAACGCAGCGAAAGCUGCGCUAAUACCGCAUACGAUCUGAGGAUGAAAGCGGGGGACCGUAAGGCCUCGCGCGAUCGGAGCGGCCGAUGUCAGAUUAGGUAGUUGGUGGGGUAAAGGACCACCAAGCCGACGAUCUGUAGCUGGUCUGAGAGGACGACCAGCCACACUGGGACUGAGACACGGCCCAGACUCCUACGGGAGGCAGCAGUGGGGAAUUUUGGACAAUGGGCGAAAGCCUGAUCCAGCAAUGCCGCGUGCAGGAAGAAGGCCUUCGGGUUGUAAACUGCUUUUGUACGGAGCGAAAAGGCCCUUUCUAAUACAAGGGGCUCAUGACGGUACCGUAAGAAUAAGCACCGGCUAACUACGUGCCAGCCGCCGCAGUAAGAC